rnacentral:rRNA from 1 species
GUUUAACGGCCGCGGUAUUUUGACCGUGCAAAGGUAGCGCAAUCACUUGUCUUUUAAAUAAAGACCUGUAUGAAUGGCAUAACGAGGGCUAAACUGUCUCCUUACUCCAGUUAAUGAAAUUGAUCUCCUCGUGCAGAAGCGGGGAUUAACCCAUAAGACGAGAAGACCCUGUGGAGCUUUAGAUGAUAGAUGAAUUUAUUAAAAAAUUAAUACCACAUAAAAGGUAAUUAAAACGAUGACCUCAUCUUAAAUCUUUAGUUGGGGCGACCGCGGAGUAAAACAAAACCUCCGUGAGGAUUGAGAUGAAAACCUUAUACCCAAGAAUGUCAUUUCUAAGUACCAAAAUAUUUGACCAAUUGAUCCGGCAACAGCCGAUUAACGAACCUAGUUACCCCAGGGAUAACAGCGCAAUCCUCUUUGAGAGUCCCUAUCGACAAGAGGGUUUACGACCUCGAUGUUGGAUCAGGACAUCCUAAUGGUGUAG